rnacentral:rRNA from 1 species
UACGAAGGGUGCAAGCGUUAAUCGGAAUUACUGGGCGUAAAGCGUGCGUAGGCGGUGAGUUAAGUCUGUUGUGAAAUCCCCCGGGCUCAACCUGGGAAUGGCAAUGGAUACUGGCUCGCUAGAGUGUGGUAGAGGAUGGUGGAAUUCCCGGUGUAGCGGUGAAAUGCGUAGAGAUCGGGAGGAACAUCAGUGGCGAAGGCGGCCAUCUGGAUCAACACUGACGCUGAGGCACGAAAGCGUGGGGAGCAAACAGG